GUGUCAGCAGCCGCGGUAAGACGAACCGUGCAAACGUUGUUCGGAAUCACUGGGCUUAAAGGGCGCGUAGGCGGACCGCCAAGUCCGGGGUGAAAUCUUUCGGCUUAACCGGAAAAGGGCCUUGGAUACUGGCGGUCUCGAGUGAGGUAGGGGCAUGUGGAACUUCCGGUGGAGCGGUGAAAUGCGUUGAUAUCGGAAGGAACUCCGGUGGCGAAAGCGACGUGCUGGACCUCUUCUGACGCUGAGGCGCGAAAGCUAGGGGAGCGAACGGGAUUAGAUACCCCCGUAGUCC
rnacentral:rRNA from 1 species